rnacentral:rRNA from 1 species
GCAAGUCGAACGCGAAAGUGGCUUCGGUCAUGAGUAGAGUGGCGGACGGGUGAGUAACGCGUAGGGAUCUGCCUCUAGGCGGGGGACAACUCGGGGAAACUCGGGCUAAUACCGCAUAAUGUUUUCGAACCAAAGGGUGCCUCUGCUUGCAAGCAUUCACCUAGAGAUGAACCUGCGUAUGAUUAGCUAGUUGGUGGGGUAAAGGCCUACCAAGGCGACGAUCAUUAGCUGGUCUGAGAGGAUGAUC